AGGAUGGUUUUCUACAUUUGCAAAAGAAAGCCCGGCCAUGCUAUCCUUGACAGAAUUUGUUGGUGCAUUCUUGUUGGGAUAAAGACACCAAACCUUGUCUUUUCCUGCAAGCUUGAGUGCAUCCCACAUCAUAUCCUCAUGUUCAGUUAUUCCAUAAAGACACAAACUAGCAGCGUGGACACCAAAUACUUGCCACAACAACUUCCCUGUGUUAUUUUGUCGCAAAAAAUCCUUUGGGUGCAUGUACAACCAAAACCGCAUCCGAUUCCAAAGAGGACAUGCUAUGAGUUUUGAGCACAUACAAUCGGCCAAGCAAA
rnacentral:misc_RNA from 1 species